rnacentral:rRNA from 1 species
GACAGAGGGUGCAAACGUUGUUCGGAAUUACUGGGCGUAAAGCGCGUGUAGGCUGCUCUGCAGGUCGGAUGUGAAAGCCCUGGGCUCAACCUAGGAAGUGCAUUCGAAACCGCGGAGCUUGAGUCUUGGAGAGGGUCGCGGAAUUCUCGGUGUAGAGGUGAAAUUCGUAGAUAUCGAGAGGAACACCGGUGGCGAAGGCGGCGACCUGGACAAUGACUGACGCUGAGACGCGAAAGCGUGGGGAGCAAACAGG